ensembl:snRNA U6 U6 spliceosomal RNA
AUGCUCACUUUGGCAGCACAUAUACUAACACUGGAAUCAUACAAAAAAGAUCAGUGUGGCCUGCAUAAGAACAACAUGCAAAUUUAUGAAGUAUUCCAUUUUACA